CUGGCUCAGGACGAACGCUGGCGGCGUGCUUCAUACAUGCAAGUCGAACGAGAAGCUCACUUCGGUGAGUGGAAAGUGGCGGACGGGUGAGUAAUAUGUAGAGAAUCUGCCCUUUAGCGGGGGACAACAGUUGGAAACGGCUGCUAAUACCCCAUAUGAGCGUACCUGAAAUGGUAUUCUUGAAAACUCCGGUGCUAAAGGAUGAGUCUGCAUCUGAUUAGCUAGUUGGCGGUGUAAUGGACCACCAAGGCGACGAUCAGUAGCUGGUUUGAGAGGAUGAUCAGCCACAAUGGGACUGAGACACGGCCCAUACUCCUACGGGAGGCAGCAGUAGGGAAUUUUGCGCAAUGGGGGAAACCCUGACGCCAGCAACGCCGCGUGAUUGAAUAAGCCCUUCGGGGUGUAAAGAUCUGUCAGUAGGGACGAAACUUGACGGUACCUACAGAGGAAGCAUCGGCUAACUCCGUGCCAGCAGCCGC
rnacentral:rRNA from 1 species